rnacentral:rRNA from 1 species
AGAGUUUGAUCCUGGCUCAGGACGAACGCUGGCGGCGCGCCUAACACAUGCAAGUCGAACGAGAGAUGAGGAGCUUGCUCUUCAAAUCGAGUGGCGAACGGGUGAGUAACGCGUGAGGAACCUGCCUCAAAGAGGGGGACAACAGUUGGAAACGACUGCUAAUACCGCAUAAGCCCACGGCUCGGCAUCGAGCAGAGGGAAAAGGAGCAAUCCGCUUUGAGAUGGCCUCGCGUCCGAUUAGCUAGUUGGUGAGGUAACGGCCCACCAAGGCGACGAUCGGUAGCCGGACUGAGAGGUUGAACGGCCACAUUGGGACUGAGACACGGCCCAGACUCCUACGGGAGGCAGCAGUGGGGAAUAUUGCACAAUGGGGGAAACCCUGAUGCAGCGACGCCGCGUGGAGGAAGAAGGUCUUCGGAUUGUAAACUCCUGUUGUUGAGGAAGAUAAUGACGGUACUCAACAAGGAAGUGACGGCUAACUACGUGCCAGCAGCCGCGGUAAAACGUAGGUCACAAGCGUUGUCCGGAAUUACUGGGUGUAAAGGGAGCGCAGGCGGGAAGACAAGUUGGAAGUGAAAUCUAUGGGCUCAACCCAUAAACUGCUUUCAAAACUGUUUUUCUUGAGUAGUGCAGAGGUAGGCGGAAUUCCCGGUGUAGCGGUGGAAUGCGUAGAUAUCGGGAGGAACACCAGUGGCGAAGGCGGCCUACUGGGCACCAACUGACGCUGAGGCUCGAAAGUGUGGGUAGCAAACAGGAUUAGAUACCCUGGUAGUCCACACCGUAAACGAUGAUUACUAGGUGUUGGAGGAUUGACCCCUUCAGUGCCGCAGUUAACACAAUAAGUAAUCCACCUGGGGAGUACGACCGCAAGGUUGAAACUCAAAGGAAUUGACGGGGGCCCGCACAAGCAGUGGAGUAUGUGGUUUAAUUCGACGCAACGCGAAGAACCUUACCAAGUCUUGACAUCCCUUGACGAACAUAGAAAUAUGUUUUCUCUUCGGAGCAAGGAGACAGGUGGUGCAUGGUUGUCGUCAGCUCGUGUCGUGAGAUGUUGGGUUAAG